CGCUCUCACGGGAUGACGUCACAGGCCGUUCCCUACAACAUGGCGGCUGUGUGUGAGGAGGCGGAAGUGUUGUGGUUAGCGAGUAUGUGACUGCCCCCUGCAGGCUGGAGGGAGUGAGUGUAUCUCACCAUGAACAGUAAGGACACCACCACUGAGUCUGAGAAUAACCGUCAGAUGAAGGUAUUUCUGCCCAAUAAGCUGUUGGAGUGUUUGCCUCGGACAAACACUCUGCCUAAAGAGAGACUCCGCUGGAACACCAACGAGGAAAUUGCAUCGUACCUGAUCUCAUUUGACCGACAUGAAGAGUGGCUCUCCUGCACACUCAAGACCAGGCCGCAGAACGGCUCCAUCAUUCUGUAUAACAGGAAGAAGGUGCAGUACAGGAAGGAUGGAUAUUGCUGGAAGAAAAGGAAGGAUGGGAAAACCACACGGGAGGAUCACAUGAAGCUCAAAGUGCAAGGAACUGAGUGUCUCUAUGGUUGUUAUGUCCAUUCCUCCAUUGUCCCAACAUUCCACAGGAGGUGCUAUUGGCUGCUGCAGAACCCGGACAUUGUGCUGGUCCACUACCUGAACGUGCCGAAUGUAGAGGACAGCGGGAAGGCGUGUGGGCCGGUGCUGUGUGCCGUUACUGACCGCCGAGACGGACUGCGCUGGAGCCGAGAGGAGCUGCUCUCACAACUUAAACCCAUGUUUCACAGUAUGAAGUGGUGUGGCAGUGGAAAUGGGGCGGAGGUUUCCAUUGAGCAGCUCGUGCAGCAGAUUCUGGAGUCACAACAGACCAAACCACAACCACGCACACACACCUGCCUCUGUAACCAUGCUUCUUCUGGAAUGAACAUUCCUCAUAGGUGUAACAGCACAAAACAUCGCAUCAUCUCCCCGAAGCUGCCAUGUGGCCCCGCCCCCUACCUCACGGAAGCCCAGAACUUAACCCAUGAGAGCUCAGGGGGCGGGGCAGCCAGCAGAGAUGGAGGUGCAGGGGACGCUGUUGCAGGAGGUGUGGCCAAUGAGAAAACCCAACCCUCCAGCCCGGCAGUCGCCCUUGACAACGGGAGUUCUGCUCCUUCCUCUUCCUCCUCUUCCAGCCCGCCCCAAACACAGCGCGCAGCAGCAAUCGCCCUUGGCAACGGCAAUGGUUUCUAUAGCGACCAACAUGGCGGCCUGGCAACAGUAGCUCUGCCUCAGAAUGCGGUAAUCGUCAUGACGACAGCAGCGGCGGCCGCGUUGGGCCGGGGAGGGGAAGAGUCUAAAGGGGAGCUCAGUUCUGCACACCUGUCACUCACGCAUACUGGAGGCCGGCUCGUCCUGUCACCUGUCCCGACCAAACAGGAGACGCCCCCUCCCAGCCCCGCCUCGCUGCCAAAUCACACAGUGCCGCCCAAUCAGGGUGUGGCUACGCUCUCCCUCACUCUUCUGCCCAGUCCUGUGAUUGGAGGACUCCUCUUGACGGAUCGCAUAAUCGCAGACAAGCCCGGCGCUAUGCUCCGCCCCUCGUCCCCCUCGCCGUCAUUAAUGGCACCGCAGACUGGCUCUGUACCUGGCCCCGCCCCCUCUGUGCCACUGCCCUUUGACCCUGAUUCUUUUCUCAACAGCCCCAAACAGGGCCAAACCUAUGGUGGCUCCUCCCUCUCCCCUCUCAACACAACUAACUCCGCCUCUUCCUCCCAGAGCCCACCCCCUUCCUCUUCUCCACAGCCUCCUUCAUUGGCAUUGACUCUUUCUCCAACCUCUCCACCCUCAUCUCUCUCUUCUCUCUCUCCUCCCACGUCGACGCCAAACUCUGCCUCGCUGUCUCCUUCGCUCUCUUACUCACUCUCUCCUUCUUGCUCCGCCCCCUCUUUCCCUCCCCUUUGUCUUGACUCCUCAUUGGCUCUUGAUUCACUGACCCACCCACUAAGCCCCACCCUAGACGCUCAGGUCUCCUCGCCACGAUUGGACAUGACAACCCGAAGCUCUGCUAGUGACGGCCAGUCUCUCCUGAUUGGACAGGAUGAAAAUGCCCCGCCUACUCUGCUGUCACUGAACUACACACACAACCAGCUGCUGCCUUCACAGCACUCGACAUCCAGUCAGCAGUCUAGCAACCACCUGUCAGCCAAUCAGCUACCGCUCAGUCGGCUCUCGCCCAAACAACCGCAGACCAAUGAGCUUCCAGCUGAUGGAGAGGGGGCGGGGCUUAGGCUUCAGGAGGAGGCUCAUCUCCUGAUGACCCAAACACACACACACUCGCUGGGUUUGAGGCCUCCAUGGCGAGGCCUGCGCCACAGCCUCAGCCAGCCGGCUCUGCUCACACACAGCGACACACACCCCGCUGCACACAUACAUUCACACACACACACUGACACACACACACACUCGCAUACUCACACACUCAUUGCACAGGUGAGCCCUGUUCAGGUGAAGGAGGAAAAGUCUCCGCCCAUAACUCCAACCAUUCUGCGAGAAUUAGAGUGUGAUGAAAUGCCCAUGGACACCGCUCACAGUUCUGACAGCUCCGCCCAGCAGCACACAGAGGAGGCGGAGCUAUCGUUUGACUCCACCUUUCCCGACCUGAUAUCUGAACUCAUCACCGAGGAGACAAACGGCCACUCUGCCUGUACAAGCCUAAACUCCGCCUCUGUCCCACCCACUUACCCAGUCAGGUACAUGGCCCCGCCCCAGCCGACGCCCUCCACCUCCUACCUGCCCUACACACUCCUCACACAGACACACACACACUCCAACGCACACUCCGGAGUGGGGGAGGAGCCUCAGCGUCUCGCUAGCAUCACCGAUUUCUCACCGGAGUGGUCGUAUCCGGAGGGUGGGGUGAAGGUGUUGAUCACAGGUCCCUGGUCAGAGGUGAGCUGCAGGUACUCGUGUGUGUUUGAUCAGAGUACAGUACCCGCUUCACUCAUCCAGCCCGGAGUACUGCGCUGUUACUGCCCAGCUCAUGAAGCAGGUCUGGUGGCUCUGCGUGUGAUGAAGGACUCGGACGCCGUGUCAUCGUCGGUGCUGUUUGAGUAUCGCGCUCGAAACGCAGCAUCAUUACCGAGCUCACAGCUGGACUGGCUCUCUCUGGACGAUAAUCAGUUCCGCAUGUCCAUCCUGGAGAGACUGGAGCAGAUGGAGAGGAGGAUGGCCGAGAUGGCUAACAACAGUCAACAACAUCAACAACAGCAGCAACAACAGCAACAGCGGUUGGCACGGCAACAGAGCACACCUAACUCCUCUCUGCGCCUAACUCCUGAAAACCAGUCCGGGCCGUGGUUUGAGCGCCGGAUCGUGAGUGUGUGUGAGCGGAUGAUGAGUGGAGGACGGUGGGGUGCCAGUGAGAGACUCACACACUGCGUCAGACACAGAGGGAUGACGUUACUGCACCUCGCAGCUGCGCAGGGAUACACACACCUCAUACACACACUCAUCCGCUGGAGGACUCUGAGUGCUGACAGUCUGGAUCUGGAACAGGAAGUAGAUCCUCUAAAUGUAGAUCACUUCUCCUGCACGCCGCUGAUGUGGGCGUGUGCUCUGGGUCACCAGUCCGCUGCAGUGUUACUGUACAGGUGGAGCAGUGUGGCACUGAUGAUCCCCGACUCGCUUGGUCGUCUCCCUCUUGCUGUCGCUCGGUCGCGGGGACACACCCGUCUCGCCCGCUGCCUCGAGGAGCUGCACACACACACACUCUUACAGACGCACACACCCGAGAUCACACACAGCCAGUCACACACACUGGACACGUCACCGCCACCUCAGCUGCCCCUGUCUCCACUAUCUACAAGUCCAGAUACAGGUCUGAGUUCCUCCAGUAGUAUUCCAUCCCCCAGUGACCCACCCUCCCCAUCUCCUAGCUCCGCCUAUUCUAGUGGUUCAGCUCCGCCCACCUCUCCUCUGUCUCCACCUGACCCAAUGGACACUUCCUGUGACUCCUCCCCAUGCUCCUCCCCAACUCCGCCCCUUCGAUGCCCAACCCCCAAAAACAUGGACACACACUUCCUGUUGGAUUCUCCACCACACUCAUACACACACUCCGAGCACACACACUCACAUACACACUCCUCCUUCGAGGCCGAAUUGCUCAGUUACAGCGAGAACGCGGAGAACGAGGACUACCUGCCUGCUGAGGUCUUACAGGUUGACAUGGCAACACUGGCUGAGCAGAUAAUUGAGGCAACUCCUGAGCGAAUCAAACAGGAGGAGUUUCCCAGGGGGGCGGAGUCACCACUGAGAGAGAGGCGGGACAAUGCAGCCAUUCACGACACCAUGCCGUGGCUCGCACCCUACCUGGACACUGUAGACAGUUGUGUGUGUCCAACCCCACAGCCCCCUUCCCCUCUCAGUGCUCUAGCUCUGCAGAGGCUCCGCCCCCCAAGUAGUGCAGCAUGGGCGGAGUUUUUGAAUGCCUCAGCCAAUGGGAGGAUGGAGAGAGACUUUGCUUUGCUCACGCUAACGGACAGCGAGCAGCGAGAACUUUACGAAGCUGCUCGCAUCAUCCAGAACGCUUUCCGCAGAUACAAGGGGCGGAGACUAAAGGAGCAGCAGGAUAUGGCGGCUGCAGUGAUCCAGCGAUGCUACAGGAAGUACAAACAGCUAACAUGGAUUGCUCUGAAGUACGCUCUGUAUAAGAAGAUGACACAGGCGGCCAUUUUGAUCCAGAGUAAGUUCCGCAGUUACUACGAGCAGAAGAAGUUCCAGCAGAGUCGCAGAGCCGCGGUUCUCAUCCAGCAGUACUACCGCAGCUAUAAAGAGUACGAACGCAUCAAACAGGGAGGGAGAACCAGCACAGCUCUCUCCAACAAGAUGAAGUUCUGGAGCGUCAUUAAAAAAACAUCACUUAACUGUUUGUUCCUGCAGAGGCUCGUUCCUGACUAAGAAGCAGGAUCAGGCGGCUCGCAAAAUAAUGCGCUUCUUUAGACGCUGCAGACACAGGAUAAAGGAGCUGAAGCAGAGCAAGGAGCUGGAGCGAAGAGGCCUGACCACCUGAUCUCUCUCUCUCUCUCUCUCUCACACACACACACACACACACACACACACACACACACACACACACACACACACGCUUUUCCCUACAAGUUUACAAUCGCUAACUAAAAUGUUCUGAGAGACGACUGACUUCCUGCUUCCUGCAUGUCCUCUGAAGGAGUGAACAUCUUGAUUCCUCCGUCUCCUGCCCUUUAACUCUCGCACUUGAACAGAAGGAACUCACGUGGAACUCACGUGGGGUUUCGUUGUACGUGUUAAUGCUCCCCGUUAUUGGAGUUCGCUAGCUAGCUAGCGGCAUUGUGGGCUAGCAUUGUGAGUUAGCUAAGCGUUGAGCUGCUUGAGCUCCUUCAGACUCGUUCUGCUUUAUUUUUUUACUUCAUUGUUGUUGCAGCUUGUAUACAGUGUGUCAUACAAAAUGUAUCUCUAUAUUCUAAUUAUCCAUAUGUAUAAACGUAUAUAUUCUAAAGAAUGAAAUUAUUGUCUUGGAUAUAAAUUUAUUUCUGCUUUGAGGUGUUUCAGCAUGUUUUAUAUGACUCCAUGUUUACCUUCUCAGUGAGUGACUGUUUCUCACUCUUUUCAGUCUUAGACCUCGUCCUCUUGUCCCCUUUCCCUUCCCCUCGCUCCCGUCCCCUCGCUCCUGUCCCCUUCCCCUCGCUCCCGUCCCCUUCCCCUCGCUCCCGUCCCCUUCCCCUCGCUCCCGUCCCCUUCCCCUCGCUCCUGUCCCCUUCCCCUCGCUCUCGCUCCUGUCCCCUGUCCCCUUCCCCUCGCUCCUGUCCCCUUCCCCUCGCUCCUGUCCCCUUCCCCUCGCUCUCGCUCCUGUCCCCUGUCCCCUUCCCCUCGCUCCUGUCCCCUUCCCCUCGCUCUCGCUCCUGUCCCCUGUCCCCUUCCCCUCGCUCCUGUCCCCUUCCCCUCGCUCCCGUCCCCUCGCUCCUGUCCCCUUCCCCUCGCUCCUGUCCCCUUCCCCUCGCUCCUGUCCCCUUCCCCUCGCUCCUGUCCCCUUCCCCUCGCUCCCGUCCCCUUCCCCUCGCUCCUGUCCCCUUCCCCUCGCCCUCGCUCCUGUCCCCUUCCCCUCGCUCCUGUCCCCUUCCCCUCGCCCUCGCUCCUGUCCCCAUCCCCUCGCCCUCGCUCCUGUCCCCUUCCCCUCGCUCCUGUCCCCUCGCCCUCGCUCCUGUCCCCUUCCCCUCGCCCUCGCUCCUGUCCCCUUCCCCUCGCCCUCGCUCCUGUCCCCUUCCCCUCGCUCCUGUCCCCUUCCCCUCGCCCUCGCCCUCGCUCCUGUCCCCUUCCCCUCGCCCUCGCUCCUGUCCCCUUCCCCUCGCCCUCGCUCCUGUCCCCUUCCCCUCGCUCCUGUCCCCUUCCCCUCGCCCUCGCUCCUGUCCCCUCGCCCUCGCUCCUGUCCCCUUCCCCUCGCCCUCGCUCCUGUCCCCUUCCCCUCGCUCUCGCUCCUGUCCCCUGGACGUUUUAGAGCUUAGAUGAGAAUCAACAACUUACCCAGAAGACAUUGCUGCAAUCUGACACGUUUUUCCCAAAAUGGCAGACUAAGCUUUAUAAACAGAAGCUUCAAAUUUUAAAACGACUCACAUCUAAUGUUUGCUAGCGAGUUAGCGCCUUAGCUCCAACAUGGAAGAACAGGAGAUGAGGUUGGCUUUGUUGCUCGUGCUGCCAUUGAGUGUGUUCCUGCUGAUAAAUUCGCUCCAAAUGCACACGUAGUUAUUGCGCACUUCUGAGUGGUUAGGGGAAGUGGAUAAGGGUGCGUUUGAAUCCGUAUUGAAACACAGAUUUGUGAAACGGGGUACGGACGGAGAGCGAUUGUUUACCGCACGGGUAAACGUCUUAAACAACACUCGAGAGUGUUUUACAAAGUGAUGUAACGUAUCGCUGAUCAAACACAAGCUGAACUUUAACAUGUUUAACCUGGAUGCACUUUAGCGAUCCUGACGCUGGGUGUCAGUUUAGAGCUGGGAUGAUAUAUCGUUGUGAUUAUACCAUAAUAACUAAAUCUGAAAUAUAGAUAUCAUUAAUAUAAAAGUAUAUUUUAUAUAUAUAUAUAUAUAUCUCAUUAAUGUAAAAGUAUAUACAAUGACUUCUAUUUUUAGAUAGAAAUCUGUAGUAAGAUAUUUAAAUUGAAAUACGUUUAUAAGGAUGUGUAAAUGAGAGAAAGUGUUUCUACUUUGUGAUAAACUACUGAAGGUUCAGACUGAUUUCUCUAAACAAGUCCACGUUAAACGUUAAAAUAUUCCGUCCUGAACUGAGUGACGGAAAACGUUCACGCUGGACAUCGAAGUUCAUUCUCCUGAUCUUUAGCUGGACGUCUGUGUGGAUCGUUUCUGAACCUAAAACCUGGUCAUGGUUUCUGCUAAGUGUAUCCACGUCUUUAAUUCACACCCUGAACUCAUUCACAGCUAAGAGAAAAAUUCACAAUAUUUUUAUAUUCAUCAGUGAAAUCAAUUAAAAAAAAAUCAAGAGGAACGAGUUGAAAUAGAAAACUGAUUAAGCUAAAAUACAUUUUCAAAUGUACUGACCUCGCUGUUUUCUAAUAAUGAUGUUAUAAUCUUUUAGAAUUGUAUUUCUUGUUUUUAUUUAAGAUUUCAGUGUAUGGAUUUUUUUAUUCUGUUCGAUCAACACCAUUUCAGCACCAGGCCAGAAAAUACACAAAUAGGAAGUUUUCAUUUAUUUCUGAUUGUGCAGUGCCUUGAAGUCUUUAAUGCAGUCACACACACACACACACACACACACACGAGUAUACGUAUUAAAUUCCUAUGAAUAACUGCAACACAAUUUAAGCUAAACUAGUCUUCUAUGUGUGUGUGUGUGUGUGUGUGUGUGUGUGUUAUACUUCAGCACUGCGUGUGUUAAUAUUAUGCAUUAAUGUGUAAAUAUUGUACAUGAUAAAGAGCUGUUGAGGAUAUAUAUUAUAUUUAACAGGAAUAUAUUUGCUUGUUAGAUAUAACAUACUGUAGGUUUUUUGUUCACAGAUACGCAUGAUUAUAUUAACAUGCUCGUUUUUGCAUGAGUUCCUUUAAGAGUUUUACUUUCAGAUAAUGGAUAAAGUGUGCAGCUGUCGCAAAGAGUUUAUUUAUAAAUAUCAUCAUCAUCAUCGCUUCAGAUUGUUUUUACUGAAAAUCUCAUUUUAUUGGUGUUCAGGCUGUUUUGCUAAUUAAUGAUUAUUCAUUAAAAUGUGUGUUUGAAAA